rnacentral:lncRNA from 1 species
GGUAAUGAUCAUCUGAAACAUCUUCGCUUUUAUAGUUGCAUGGAUGAUUUCUUUUCGUCCACGAUGUGAUAUUCGCAUUCUUUAAUGGUAUAUAGAUGAAAUUCCGAUCGGCAUGACUACUUCCAUUGAGUUCGUAAGAGAUGAUAUUAUCGUUUUCUCCUCAUCAAACCUAGAGUAGAUACCUUCAUAUGACAAUCAAAGAUUCUUUGAGAAACUAGUUGAGGAAUGCCUACGGAACAUUUCAAUCAUUAAAGUCUCUGGCCUUUAUAAUUCAUUGCAAUCUUAUUUACCCUUGUAGUUUAUUUCCUCCGUCAAAUUGAACAGAAAUAUAUAUAUCCAUGUAAUUGUCAUUUAACCGCAUACGCGAGAUGGUAUCUUGAAGAUCAAUUCUGCAUUUCCUUCUUUUUCAGCUGACUAUGGUGAUCCAAGAGACCCUUCGCCUCUAUCCUCCCGCUUCUUUCGUGACGCGCGAAACUCUAAGAGACAUGAAGCUUGGAGCCAUCCACAUUCCGAAAGGCGUCAAUGUGAAGAUNUUGGAUAUCUUUACGCCGUUAAACGAGAAAACGUCUCUUAUCGACCAUUAAAAUUACAAAUUUUGAAACCCUUUGAUCAUUAGGCAAAUGAUGUCGACAAGAUUUGAAAUUUGAUUUCUAAACACUUCAAGUGGUAUAGAUCAUAUUCAACGGAGCCGAUCGUCAAUUUGGAAGUUCUAUCAUCGAAAACAAAUCGGUAGUAAAACAGCUCGUUUACUACCGAUAGUAUUCUAGCUCAACUCUAUAUAUAUAUAUAUAUAUAUAAGGUGAUGCAAUAUGUCUCAUUUAAUUAUUAAGGAACUACAAUGUUGUACUAGAUAUCAACCAACAAGCAGGAACAGAGAGAUAUGGAGGUUAGAUAGAGAAAUCCGUUUACUCAUUCUGAACGUCGCGAAUGAGCACAAGAGAGAAGGCUCGUCAUCCUCAUCCAGUAAAAAUGAUCUUUUACAAGCCAUAGUCGAGGGUGCUAGCGGCAGGGGUGAUGAGUUUAUAGUCGACAAUUGCAAGAAUAUCUACUUUGCGGGGCAUGAAACGACGGCGGUCAGCGCCACAUGGUGUUUGAUGCUUCUUGCUGCGCACCCAGAAUGGCAGGAACGCGCUCGAGCUGAGGUUUUAGAGGCGUGCCAGGGGAAAUCACUUGAUUUCGAAAUGCUCAGGAGGUUGAGAACGGUAAUGAUCAUCUGAAACAUCUUCACUUUUAUAGUUGCAUGGAUGAUUCCUUUUCGUCCACGAUGUGAUAUUCGCAUUCUUUAAUGGUAUAUAGAUGAAAUUCCGAUCGGCAUGACUACUUCCAUUGAGUUCGUAAAAGAUGAUAUUAUCGUUUUCUCCUCAUCAGACCUAGAGUAGAUACCUUCAUAUGACAAUCAAAGAUUCUUUGAGAAACUAGUUGAGGAAUGCCUACGGAACAUUUCAAUCAUUAAAGUCUCUGGCCUUUAUAAUUCAUUGCAAUCUUAUUUACCCUUGUAGUUUAUUUCCUCC